CCAGUAUAUUACACAAAAUUUACAAAAUGCAAAUAAUAUCACCAAAACCAUUACAUGACUCCUUGUAAGCCUUAUUCUUGCCAUUCAAUUCUCAAUGUUGACUAGUUUUUGAAUCUUUGCCUUUAACUUAAAAAAUAAAAUAGAUAAGUGGAAACUAUAAGUAGGAAAAAUUAUUAGCUUACAAGAUCAACUGAAAAAUACUUUCGACCAAAAUAAGUGGAUGCCUCCUUCUAUUGCACUUAAAUAGGAAAAUAAGGAGAUGUGGUAUGAUUGCCAAUGGGACAACAUCCACCUCAAUUUUAAUGAAGUGGAUGCAAGAACUGUGAGGCAACAUUACUGUUCAGCCUUCAACAAUGAGAAAAAAAACCAUACUGUUUACGCUGGCUGUAAAAUGCUUUGACAUGAAAAAUAUGAAAUGAUUCAAUAGAUAAAACUAACAGCCUAAUUUAUAACAAAACAAUUAAUGAAAAACAAAUAUGACUCAGACAAACAUAAACCAAUGACAACCACUGAACUACAGGCUCCAAGGAAUGUGGCUAUGUUAAACAUGUUUAAAGACAAUAACUUUAGUAUAGUUAUAAGUCUAUGUAUCUCUAUUGAAUUUUUCCAUAAGGUUCCAUAUCCAAAAUAAGGAAGGUUGGGUUAAUUUUUAGGGUUUUGGCGACCAUAGGUUAAUUAAUCAAAGAGGGAUAGAUUUCUCUUUGAACAAAUUUAAAAGUGAAUAAACUGCACAGAGAACAAUAGCUUUUGUAUUUUUUCAAUGGGGCAACAGAUUGAACAAUAGUUUAAUCUGUGGAAAAGUUUCAUUUGGUUUGCAAUAAAUUUUUGGUGCACUUGGAUAUGCUGAAAAAUGCUUUUGAUAUGGGAUAUUGAAACACAAUAGGUCCCAAUUUAAAAAAAAACAUCAUUUUUUUAAACCACAUGCAUUCUGUGCCAGAAACCUAUGCUGUGUCAAAUAUUUCAUCACAAUCCUAAUUCAGAGCUGUAUGAAGCUUGAAUAUAGUCUCCAUACUUCUCCCAACUGUUCAGGGUUUGACCUUUGUGGUCUUGUCAACCUGCUGACCUGCAAGGAGCAUUUUAUUGCUAUUAUUUGGAAAACUACAACAAAUAAGUAAAAAAAC
rnacentral:lncRNA from 1 species